GAUGAACGCUGGCGGCGUGCCUAACACAUGCAAGUCGAGCGAAGCACUUACUUUAGAUUUCUUCGGAAUGACGAAGUUUGUGACUGAGCGGCGGACGGGUGAGUAACGCGUGGGCAACCUGCCCUGUACAGGGGGAUAACAGUUAGAAAUGACUGCUAAUACCGCAUAAGCCCACAGCUUCGCAUGAAGCAGUGGGAAAAACUCCGGUGGUACAGGAUGGGCCCGCGUCUGAUUAGCUAGUUGGUAAGGUAACGGCUUACCAAGGCGACGAUCAGUAGCCGACCUGAGAGGGUGACCGGCCACAUUGGGACUGAGACACGGCCCAAACUCCUACGGGAAGCAGCAGUGGGGAAUAUUGCACAAUGGGGGAAACCCUGAUGCAGCGACGCCGCGUGAGCGAUGAAGUAUUUCGGUAUGUAAAGCUCUAUCAGCAGGGAAGAAAGUGACGGUACCUGACUAAGAAGCCCCGGCUAACUACGUG
rnacentral:rRNA from 1 species